rnacentral:other from 1 species
UGCGCCCUGCGGUGUGCGAGAUACCGGUAUAUUGCCCCGAACCUAUGUAAACUAAUACGGAGGCUUCCUGACUUGAGUUAAUGACACGCCUUCACUGGACUUCAGCAAUUCAAGCAGUCGCUUCCACCUUACCCUUCUGGAACGGAUUAGCAUCCUUAACGGCAUCGCGGGGCACUC